rnacentral:rRNA from 1 species
UACGGAGGAUGCAAGCGUUAUCCGGAAUUAUUGGGCGUAAAGCGUCCGCAGGUGGCACUUCAAGUCUGUCGUCAAAGACCGGGGCUUAACCCUGGAAAGGCGAUGGAAACUGAAAGGCUAGAGAGAGGUAGGGGUAGAGGGAAUUCCCAGUGUAGCGGUGAAAUGCGUAGAUAUCUGGAGGAACACCGGUGGCGAAGGCGGCAUCCUGGACCGGCAUUGACGCUGAGGAGCGAAAGCCAGGGGAGCAAACAGG